UGCGAACUGGGGCGCCGGGCCGGCGCGCGGCGAGGCGGCCCGCUUGUUCGUCGCGCAGGGGCGUGAGCCGCGCAAGAGCGGCCUGAUGGCGUGUGCGUUACACAAUAAGCAGCCUUCACAUCUUUCACAAGCUGGAAGUCCAAGGUGGUGGCAAUGAUUGAUUUGAUGCUGGGUUAUCGCUGGGGCUUGGUGCCUGUACUAGGAAUCGAUUGCGCCUGUGGCCAUUUUUAUUGGAUAGGACAGAGAGAAAUUGAAAGAGGAGGGGAGGAGAAAGACACCUGCCAACCUGCUUUACCCCCUGUGAAGUGACCUCCCUGCAGGUGGAGAGCCAGGACUCAAAAAGGUAUCCUUGUGCUUCAUACUAUGUGCACUUAACCCAUUGCGCCACUGGCCUGCCCUGCCUUUAAAAUAACUUUUAUUGAAU